GAUGAACGCUGGCGGCGUGCCUAAUACAUGCAAGUCGAGCGAACGGACGAGAAGUUUGCUUUUCUGAUGUUAGCGGCGGAUGGGUGAGUAAAACGUGGAUAACCUACCUAUAAGACUGGGAUAAAUUCGGGAAACCGGAGCUAAUAACGGAUAAUAUUUUGAACCGCAUGGUUCAAAAGUGAAAGACGGUUUUGCUGUCAAUUAUACAUGGAUACGCGCUGCAUUAGCUAGUUGGUAAGGUAACGGCUUACCAAGGCAACGAUGCAUAGCCGACCUGAGAGGGUGAUCAGGCACACUGUAACUGAGACACGGUCCAGACUCCUACGGAAGGCAGUAGUAGGGAAUCUUGCGCAAUGGGCGAAAGCCUGACCGAGCAACGCCGCGUGCGUGAUGAAGGUCUUCGGAUCGUAAAACUCUGUUAUUGGGGAAGAAUGUAUGUGUGAGUAACUGUGCGUGUCUUGACGUUACCUACACAUUAAGCCACGGCUAACUUCGUU
rnacentral:rRNA from 1 species